CGAACAAAUUUCGUAUCGCAAUCGUAUCGUCACGUAAACGAUACUUGAACCUUAUAAACAAUCAAACGCUAUAAUUGCGAGCACGAACACUGUUUUGACGUACGGUAAUGUAAAUUUCGAAGGCUGGGUAUCGAGUAUUGUCGAAACUUUAUUCACUUAAAAUUUGUUGGUGAGAAAGGUUUCGUAACGUGUUUAAAUAUAAUUUUAUCCAUGUUUUUAUUUUUUAAGUAUUUUUUUAUAAAUAAUAGUGUUUUCUUAUCACUUUAGUUAGUUCUUAUAUACAAUUAAUUUUAAUAAAUUGCUCAAAAUGCAAAGACCACCGUUGUACGAGCGUAGUCCUUUAUAUUAUUUUGUUGCUGCAAUAUUACUUGAAAAUGAAGAAUAUUGAUCAAGAGAAGUUAGGUAAGUACCUACUUCAGUCAAUCGUGUUAUAUUCUAAUAUUUUUUAAACAUAAAUUAAUUGAGAAUCAAUUGGUUUUAUUACUUAUAGAGAAAUUACACGCAGUUGCUCUGAGAAAAAAAAAAUCCUGUGGACAUAAAUGACGCGGAAUUCAAAAAUAGAUACCGGUUGAAUAAAGAAUCAUUAAAGUUUCUUUGUAAUCAACUUAAGCAAAAAACAUCUUUAAAAGCAAGUUCCAAGGUUCUUUGCGCGCUAUCUUUUCAUGCCACUGGAUCUUACCAACGCUUAGUGGGAAUGGCUAAAUAUUUGGGCCAAACGACUGUAAGCAAAUGUGUGAAGGAAGUAACAGAUGCUCUUGUAACUCCUGCAAUUUUAAAUACUUUCAUAAAAUUUCCUUAUGCCAGAGCUGAUAGAGAUGUAAUAAGAAACAAAUUUUUUGCAAAGUAUGGUUUCCCAGGAGUUAUAGGAUGCAUUGAUGGAUGUCAUUUCCAUAUUUUCACACCCAAAAAAGAAGUCGAACAUUUGUAUUAUAGUAGAAAGCAUUUCCAUUCAUUAAAUGUGCAAAUGAUUUGUGAUAGUGAUUGUCGUAUUUUAAACGUAAAUGCGAAAUACGGAGGAGCCACCCACGACGCUUUUAUUUGAGAAAAUAGCGUGGUCAACAAUUAUAUGCAGAGCUUACAUCGAAAUAACGAGCAAGUGUGGUUGUUAGGUGAUUCUGGUUAUCCACAGCGACCCUGGUUAAUGACACCAAUUUUAGAUGCUGUUGAGGGAACUCCAGCUUAUAAAUAUACAGCAGUUCAUGGAAAGACCAGGGUAGCUAUUGAAAAUACUUUUGGGCGACUAAAAAACCGAUGGCGUUGUUUGUGUAAGGAUCGCACAUUACACUAUGCUCCAGUAAAAUGUGCAAAAAUCAUAACAGCAUGCUGUGUAUUGCACAACUUAGCCAUUGAGUUCAACGUACCUGAACCAGAACCAGCAGAGAUUGAAAACCCCAAUUUGGCUAUGACAAUAUCUGAACAUAUUUUUCAAGAGAAUAUUACAGGAGAUGGGUUAAUUAGGGGUAGAGCUAUAAGAAGUAUUUUAGCGGAUAAAAUUAAUAGACUUCAUACAUAAUUUUACUUUUGUUUAUUAAUUUUGUAAAAAUAUAGUAAUUGGUAAUUAUAAUUAAGUAAUUGGUAAAAUAAAAUAAAAUAAAAUAAUUAAUUAAUUGGUAAAAUAAAAGUAGUUGGUAAAAAAAUAUAGUAAUUAAGCUUAA